GACGAACGCUGGCGGCGUGCUUAACACAUGCAAGUCGAACGGAAAGGCCCUGCUUGCAGGGUAUUCGAGUGGCGAACGGGUGAGUAACACGUGGGUGAUCCGCCCUGCACUUCGGGAUAUGCCUGGGAAACUGGGUCUAAUAUCGGGUAGGAGCCAUCCUGAGGGUGAUGGGUGGAAAGUUUUUUCGGUGUGGGAUGAGCUCGCGGCCUAUCAGCUUGUUGGUGGGGUAAUGGCCUACCAAGGCGGCGACGGGUAGCCGGCCUGAGAGGGUGGACGGCCACAUUGGGACUGAGAUACGGCCCAGACUCCUACGGGAGGCAGCAGUGGGGAAUAUUGCACAAUGGGCGCAAGCCUGAUGCAGCGACGCCGCGUGGGGGAUGACGGCCUUCGGGUUGUAAACUCCUUUCGCUAGGGACGAAGCUUUUGUGACGGUACCUAGAAAAGAAGCACCGGCUAACUACGUG
rnacentral:rRNA from 1 species